AGGCCGUCACUCCAGCCCUGCAUUCCUAGGCUGGUCUGCAGGACUCUCUGGGGAGUAUCUGGGGGUUUGCAUAGACCAACCUGACCAGCAGAAACCUCUUGAACUGAUGAGAGUUUCCUUUCUGUUGCAUCAUGUUAGCUCAGAGCUUUGACCCUUCCCCUGUUCCUUUCCAGGUUUUGUUUUUCAGGGUAGCUGUCCACAGGGUUGGUGAUGUGUGGCUCACAGUGGUUCCUGAUCAAAAAAUGUGGACAUUCAAGCCAAAAGAGUUUCAGACUGAACUCCACAAGCGUUUAUUGGCUCCUUUAGGACUGUGCUACAGCCUGCAGCGAAUACCCACGAGCACUGCUGAUCCUGCCACCAGCAUCCUGUCCAGCUGGGGUGAUCGCAGCCAUGGCAAACAAACUGCACGCAGAUUCCUUUCACUCUCAUUUUUGCAGCUCAGGCUAACUGGGAAUGUAAAACCACACUGACCAAGGGAGAGCGGGGAAAUUGCCAGUGAAUGCAGAAAGAAGAAAAGGAAGGAAAAUGUGGAAAGCAGGAGUUUAUAGAGUGUUUCUGAAGACCUUCUCCCAGGCUAAAAUGAGGAUCAGUUCCAGGUUUGCAAUCAUAUCAACAGUAGGAUAGUGAUUUAUUUCUGAGGUUCUGUCAUCUAUACCAGCAUACUGUCUGCAUGAGGCAGUGUUUGGCGAGUGGUGCGGAGCUUACAGCCCCAAAAAGCCACUCCUGAAGGUUUGGUUAUCUGCAGCCAACAUGCGCUGAUACUGGGAAACGUUUGGAGCAGAGGUUACGUUUUGAAAUUAUGAAGUGCUGGCUUUGGUACCAAGUUUAAGGGCAGGAACAAAGCACACAGCAGCUCUGGAAUGGAAUGAAUUCUGGUGUGGAUACAAACCACUUAAUUCACUUACCUGCAGGAGGAAAGUUCAUCUUUCCAAUUCAGUGCUCCUGAGUAUUCUGAAGCUCUCCAACUGGCAGGAAAAUCACAUGGAAGAAAUGGACAGAAUCAGGUUUGCUGUGUAUUCAGAUCAAUCGAUACUAUUUUGGAUAUAUAAACUAAUGUAUUUCCUUUUGUAAGCAUAAUUCUGAGCAUCAGGUAUGAGUUUUGGAGGUUAAAUGUUUGGGAUCUGGGAAAAAAAAUGUCCCUACUGUUGCAGUGCUGACAAUGUGACAGCCAGGCUACCCUCCCACAUCAGCUCCAGAUGUGCUCUAGAGAUGCCGCUGUGAAAGCCUCCUGUCCCUAAACCAGGGCAUUUCCAAUGAAAGAAGUGUUCAGUUUUUACCUUCUCAGCUUCAUCAAGUGGGAAACAGGAUUGUUCACAGAAAGGCUGAGUUGCUGCCCACUACGCUCCACUCUGUCGUGGAUUUUGAAAGAUAAGAGAAUAUUAAUUAUAACAACCUUUAUAGACGUAUUUGCAAGAUCACUUCAAAAAUACUAUACAAAUUAAGUGUUUGCAGAGACAAUAUAUUGUAAAUGAACAGCAAUAAUGAGGAAGUGGCAGCACUGACAGAAGAUACUGAAAAUUUCAGAGUUUUGGGUGAGAAUUUUUGACAAAUCACAUGAAAGCUUUUAUUCUGCCACUCCAGGGGUGCCUUGGAAGUUGGGAGCUAGAUGUUGCCAUUUAUAGAAUCAUAGAAUCCCAGACUGGUUUGUGUUGGAAAGGACCUUAAAGCUCAUCCAGUUCCAACCCUGCCAUGGUCAGGGACACCUUCCACUAGAGCAGCUUGCUCCAAGCCCUGUCCAACCUGGCCUUGAUGGCACUUCCUUGAUGCCACUUCCAGGGAUGGAGCAGCUACUAGUUCUUGGGUCAACCUGUUCCAGUUCCUCUCCAAAGCACUACAUUCAUCUCCCAGUUCUCUUCACCCAUCUCCCAGUUUGUUUGGUUUGGGUUUGGGUGUUUUUUCCCUAGAAUUGAGGCUUUUAGUUGAAAAAGGAACAGUUUCAGGAACUCAGUUUCCUCAGAAGAUUGAGGCAUUGUAUUCUAUCCAUAACCCUUAUUGCAGAUGUUGAUGUGAAACAUCCACUGGGUUGCACCUGGGUUGCACAUGGGACAAGGCAGUAAAGCACAUGGCCCUGCAGGACACCCUUGGUGGAAGAGGGCUCAUUUUGCCAUGCCCAUUUUGUAUUGGCCGCCUUCCUGAUGUGAACUUAACAAUCUCUGCUGUUUAUUUGACUGCAUGUUUAGGGUUGAAUGGAGCUCCCAGGAAAUCUCCUACAAUUGAGCUGACUUCAGCAGACCUGCCCAAGAGAGCAGAACUGGGCUGUUUGCAUCUGCUGUGUGAUGUUCUUGGAGUCCCCCAGAUGAGAGGUGCUAUGGAGACUUUAAAAGGUUGCUACCACGCACCAGUGGCUACAAAGCAUUAGUUACGGGCUUGGCUGUCCUGUUUUGGGGGACACUGCAUGGCUUUUGGGAGUCUGAUGUUGGCAAAACGCACUGGAUUGAGGAGUGAUGCUUCUGCUCUUCCCAAUCCCCUGUAAAAAUCUUCCCAGCAAAGAAUGGGCCAUAAAUGUGUCAGAAAGUCAGUCCAAGUGAAGAGAUUACCAUGGGUAAUCGCAAAGCAUGAUUUCAUUAGAGGAUUUCUUUACACAUGGGCAUGGACAUAAGAGUAACCCGAGCCACGGGAACCGUGUGUUUCUGAAGUAGGGCACAGUGGCAGGAGUGUUAUUAAUAUUCUGGG